UUCGCGUGGCUUCGGACUGAGGAUGGAUGCUGAAACGAACGUCUCUCUUCCUGAAAUUUCACCACCGAUUGAACGUUUCUCUUCUUGAAAUUUCACCACCGAUUCCGUGUGUUUUGAGCUGCAUCUUGUGAAUUCAAUCAAUGCAGAGUUGUUCCAGGAGGAACAUGGCUUGGCUUUGCUAGCACGUUUUCACUCUGUGUUAGUCUAAUACACCCUUUUUGUACCAAAGGUGAUACAUAAAAAAAGGGGUUCUUUAAAAUCUUUUCCCUAUCUAAAUUGCUUAGAUUCUUGGAGGUGUCAUUGGGUGAUGUUAGAAUUUAUUGCUAAUAUUACAAGUUUUUUAAAUUGUGCUUUGAUGUCUUCGGGAUGUACCUGAUGCACUGUGGUGGCCACAAAAUCUUCCUGUGACUUAGUUCAAUGCAGGACUUGGUUUUUUCGAUAGUGGUUUACAGUUUUAAUUUGCAGAGAUCCUGGAGGCACCUGAUGUGUUUCAUUGGUGUUGGAGUCACUCUGUGGCAGAAGGGAAUGCCACUAAUGUUAUGUUGUCAGUGUAAAUAAAACAUAUCCAGUAUCA